AGCAGGAAUCCAGGCAGAAGAGGAAUAGGGUAGGCUGUUAUUAUUAUUUACUAUUUAAUUAUUACUCUAGGCAGAAGUUCUAUGGUGAAGCAGAGCACAAGAAAUGACCUAAAUUAGGUGCCUACGUAUGAAUUAAAAUGUGUGUGUGACUGCAUGUGUGUGUGGGAGGGAUCUUACGUUUUCCCAGAUUUCUGCUGCAGAAAUGAAUCCCAGCUGCUUAAUCCCUUCAGCCCUCGCAAUCAAUUUCCAUAAGGUUUCAUUUUCAAGCCACUCUUUGCAAGGAAAUAGUCUGGAAAGGUUUUUUUUUUAAAAAUUAUUAAUUAAAGCUGAGCUGUUUCAUGAAGCUCAAAUGCCAGCUCUCUAAACAAGAAGUUUGCCUGAGCUCCGAUCCCCCUAAGCUACAUUUUGAACUUAAGAUGAACUAUUGUAUAUACAAGGUUUUGCAAAGCCCAGCUGAAAUGUUCCCAUUUUGUAAUCUUAAUUCCAGUACUUUUUUUUUUUUUUUUGAGGGAGUGCCAGGACAAGUAAGCCUCAAAGUGAAAGUUUAGCUAAGAAUAAAAGUGAUACCUCUCCAUUUUAUUUGUCCCAGCUGGGUGAAAUACAAAAAGCAAGCAAUCAGCAUUAAUAGUAGAAAGGAAAUCAAAUAUUUUAAAAUCUUGUACUUUAAAUAUGUAAACUUAUUACACAGGAAUUUUAAAAAACAACACAUGAUUUUAAUCUGACAGUGUCUCUUUAAGUAGUUUCAUUUUUUUGCUAGUCAAUGCCAGGGGUUUGAAAAGACCUCAGGCUUCUGUCAGACAUAGCUAUACCUCAGCCAGAUCAUGUGUGAUCCUCUGACCCAGUGAACAUCUCAGAGGUCUGCAUCAUUUGAUUAUAGCAUCACAUAUUUGACAAAAAGCUCCACCCCUUACCAGGGAGCAGCAGCAGCAGUUUUUAGGGGAAGAUAGAGGAGAGGCAACUGGACAGAAUUACAGCUGAGGGGAGGUUGUUGCCUGUCUCUAUUAGGGAGAAGAAGGGGACACCUGCUACUAACUCUGUCUUGGGAGGCUUCAACAAGCUGCAGAGGUCAAACAGGAAGAAAAUCCUCUGUCAAAAUGAAGGCAAAGAUCUUUACAACGAGCAUAAGAAAUGACGAGUGCCGUUGCAUAGCCCUCGCCAUCCAAGGCAGAAUGAGACUAGUCGCUGGAGUUGUGGUGCUGGAGUCUGCAUCAGGAGAUGAGGUGCCCAAGUAGCCAGCACUGCCACUAAUUUCCAUUGCUGUUAAUCUGAGUGUGAAAGACCAAUCCAUCAUCCCAGAGUGAUGGAUGUGGGAGGUGGCUAGACCUGAUAACUCACAGGGACAAGGGGAGAAGAAACAAUCACUUCUCUCUGGAAAGGAAAGGAUGGCCAAGUGAUUAAAGCACUAAACUAGCACUCAAGUGCCUGGGUUCAAUUCCUGUCAAAUCACUUAAUGUUUCUAUCCCUAUUUUGCAGAAGGAAAAAUAAUACACCCCUACUCCACAUGGGUGUUGUGGGGAUAAAUUAUUAACAUUUGCGGAGUGAUGGUACACUUUGGUGAUAAGGGCUGUACAAAUAGACAGAGAUCUUGAAAAUAACAAAAUAAAUAAUGCUUUACCCCUGCCAAAGCUCUUGGCAACUGAACCAAACAAAUACAAAGAAACCCAUGGAUCCUUCAAAAUACAAACACAUAGCAACAACCACAGGGCUGAAAUAAAAGGAAUGAGAUAUGAAAUUAAAUGAGAUACGAAAUAAAAGGAAUAAGAAAAAAUGGAUGGACAGGGACAUCAAUAUUAGGUCAGAUUUCCAAGUGCUCGGCACCAGCAACAGGGGCCAGAUUUUCAAAAGAGCUCCUCUCCAAUUUAGUCAGCUACACAAGGUCCAAUGUUUUCAAAGUGUUCAGCAGCGCUCAUGGUGACGUUUCUGGGCAGAUUUUUCAAGAGCUCAGCACGCAAUAUAUUGAGCUCUUUUGAAAUCUGGAAACGUUAGCUCUUUUGAAAAUCUGAUCCAUAUUGUGCUAACCUGAUGGGAUCUGACUUACAAGGCAUUGCAAACAAGCGGUUUAAUUUUUCUCCCUCUCCUCAUUCCCAGAAAAUUGCAACACAUUAUUUUCUCCUUCUCACUGUGGAAUCCAACUCUGCACUGCUAUAAAGAUGAGAAGAUCAGUUGGGGAGGGAUGUUCUUGCAAACAGUCUGUUUCCCUCUACUGGAAGUAGCAGAAUAGAACAGUUCUAAGGUAUCAGCUGAUUUGCAAAGCAACUAUAAAACCAAGUCUGGAAACUUACAGGAAAGGUGAAACUGCAUCUUUUGUGAUCAGAGCUCUCAGACUGUGCUCCAGGAGAUGGCAGUCUCAGCAAGCAGGAAACUUGUUCUCCAGCAGACAUGCAUUCUUUGUUUUUUAAGUUCAUACAGUUGUGGGGCUUUUCUCAUAAUCUUUAUCUUUCAAAGAAGACCAGCAGCCUGUGUGUUUGACAAAUAUUUGUAGAGUACUGUAAAUUCAUAUAGACUUCAAAAUGACCUUUGAGUGAAAACUGGAGCAGAUUCCCACACAGAAAGGAAUUGGGUUUAGUUACUAUUUUUGUAUACAAAACCUGUAUAAACAGAAGAUAUUUAAGUGUAUUCCCUAAAUACUUCACCUCCAGAACUGUGGUUGGAAUAGUAUAGCUGCAUGUUCUCUUUAUCACAGCUCUUCAGAUCUGCUAUCAAGGGCCUGAUCCGUCUCUCCUUACACUGGCAGAACUGCCAUUGACUUCCCAAGCUCCAUGGACCUUAGAGGAUCUACAGGAGUGAAGGGGUAUCCCUUUGUUUUGGUGCAGGCUCUGAAGCUUUGGCACCCCUUCUUUACCAAUAUCGGUUACCUUCCUUACCCGGGGCUCAAUCCUGCAAGACACUGAGCAAUUCUUGGCAGUGUUAAGCGUUCAGUGGGAGAAAAGCAGUUAUAGGUCACUUAGCCCAGAAUCCUAGGGGAAGGCUUCCCAGGAGCUGGAGGAUUUUAGCCUUGGAUAUUUUUUCCUGAAAUGAACAACUUGGCAACAUAAAGUUGAACUUUUGCAAUGUUUUGGUAGCUCCGAAUCUGCAUUUUUCAGCUGAAAAAUUUCACCCAGCUCUACCCAAGAGACAGAAUCAAAACACCAUGGACUUGAACAUCCAAUCAGGUUCAAACAAUGAAUGUAAAGUAGUUUCAGAUGUUUCAUCUGUUCUGGAAUCCCCUGCAAAUUACAGUCAUUUUUUCCUAUUUUUA